CCCUUAGAUGUUCUGGGCCGCACGCGUGCUACACUGAACGGUUCAAUGGGUGAGGUAGUGCGAAAGCAUGACCCAAUCUCAAAAUCCGUUCGUGCUGGGGAUAGAAGCUUGCAAUUCCCCUUCUUGAACGAGGAAUACCUUGUAAGCGCGAGUCAUCAUCUCGCGCUGAAUACGUCCCUGCCCUUUGUACACACCGCCCGUCGCUCCUACCGAUUGAGUGGUCCGGUGAGGCUUCGGGAGAGCUAAAUGGAUUGUGUUUCACAAACUAUUUGGCUUGAACUUAGUCAAACCUUACUACUUAGAGGAAGGAGAAGUCGUAACA
rnacentral:rRNA from 1 species